UAAUGAGAUGCACAUCUUUCAGAGUUGGAACUCGGCGGGCAUCAACUCCCUUGCGCAUCAUACUAAACACGAGCAAGAAACUUAAGCAUGAGAGAAGAGAGGAAAGAAUUCAGACAAGUUGAUUUAAUUUGGAAAGGCUUAUGCACCACAUUGAUGCUAUAAACUCCAUAUACCAAGCAUCAUGUUGAAACCACAGUGAGUACUUACAAAAGCUUAACAUUAGAACAUUGUACGCAAUAUCCCAUUGAUGUCACAAUCAGUAUAAUGAAACAAAAAAUCACAUCUAAUCCCAUAAAAGAUUACAUUUGCUACGUGCAAUGUCUGAACGGAUAGCAGCAUAUGAUUAUUCAAGAGGGACAUCACUUUGCUAAACAAAAAUUGUAAGUGAUACAGAAAAAAUAAGUAUAUCACAAAUAUGAAUGGAACUAUGCUCCAACAAAAGUACAAAACGAAUGAAUCAAAAGCAAAGGCUGCUUAUGAGCUUGUUCAUUUAGAUUGAAACUGGUAGCUAGUUCCUUACGUGCAGAUGUAUUCUCUUGAGAAACAUGACGCCUUAAAAAAUAUACACGGGACACUUUAGAUUGAACUCAACAACAAAAGUUUGUGUUCUAUUAAGUGUCUGUACAGUUGUCCAUUAACCUGAACAUCAUCAACCUAACUUGGAAACAUAAAAUUGUUACUGCCAGAGUUCAUACUUCCAUAUAUGUUGUGCCUCCUUUCGAAUUCUCUACAAUUGGGUACUCAAGAUUGAAGCUGAUUGUACCUCCAACCUUUACUGGGACAAAAAAAAAGACCAUUUCACUGUCGAGAAUUACAAGAGUGCUCAAUUUCAUCAACUAUUCAUUUCCCAUAUUCAUUACUCUAGUAAUGGUUACUUUGCUCCUAAACUAGCAGUACUCCCACUGUACAUGUUUUGGAUGUUUUUUGGCUUUCAAAAUCGAUUGCUGCUCGUGGUGUUAUCAAAUUUCCAAAAAAGCACCAGCUGCAAUCAAGAAUAGUACAUUACCUAUCCACUUUUUUAAAGGACAUUACAUAUCCACUUAAUCCACAACACACUCCUACAGAAAUCAAGUCAUUUUUUCCCUCUACUAAUGUAUACAGGAAGCAUCAUUUUUUCAGGUUUAGUCAUGACUGCCUCUUUGCGAGGCAGGUAAGCCAGGAACCCGUCGGCUGCUCUGCUUCCACUGCUGGGGAGUGGUGAGGUGGAACACCGAAUGAGGAGGGUAGCGAAGGAACCACUGUGAAUUUUUAACAUCAUAAGAUAUUUAUGUACUGCAAAUAUUCUGAAAUUUGUACACCAGCCAGUAUGCACUCUCUAGCAAGCAGCCAAAUAUUCUGAAAUAUGUACAACAGCCAGAAUGGACAACAACCUAUCUUCAGGUAUAGCUAGCAACCAAUGAACUAUUUUAUGAAAAACAAUCAGUGAAUAUGAUACGGCAAUUGUUGCCUCUAAAACAAAAUCACUAAGUUGUAGUUUACAAAUUAUGAUGCUAUACAUGUCACCAAUUGUCUACCUUCCUACGGCACUAACUUCUUACCAGUCGACACCGAAGCGCCACCCUCGUCGAAGGACCUAUUUGAACUCUCAAUUUACCAACAACGACCUUCUCAAUUAAAACAUGGUGCGCCCAAACUGCAGUGCAAAGGAAAAUUUCAACCACUUUGCAAAAAGGUCGGAAUAACUCUGGCCAAAAUGAUUCCAGUUGAAAAACGUGAAUGCUGCUGAACUAACUUGUUUAUUUGUAACCAAUCUCACUUGUUUUAAUACCAGAAAAAAUUAUGCAUUUAAUAUAAAAAAAUACACAACAUAUGCACAACCAUACAUUAUCCACCCUAAAUGAAGCUUAAUUCCACAAAAGGAUUAUCUUCAUCAUUAGCAUUAGAAAGGGGAUAAAAAUCUUACAUGUAAAGCAACAUCCUAUGACAGAGUACACGCUAAUGAAUUAUGUAUUAUUUAAACUUACUGACAGGACACAAAAUAACUUGGUAUGAAUGUUCAUGAUAUUCAUUAUGUGAUCGAGUGGUGGAAAAAAUGGUGGACGAAAUGUUAAUGGAAUACCUUAUGUGGACUUUGGAACUGCAAUAUGAUACAGGCAACGAACAAGUAUAGUAGAUAAAAAUUCUCCAGCUUCCAUGGCACCGAUAUGGUCAAAAUAAUAACCAUGUAUUCCCUCGUGUGCAUUAACAAUAGCAUCAAUCUGGAAACUUACUGCAUUGCUGUGGUGAUUCGCAACGGAACCACAUGUUUCUUCUUGCAUCAUGCAACAUCAGUCUCUGCAAAUCUAACAUAUCAUCAGCUUACUAAGCAUUUCCACAAGCAUUUACCAAGCACCAAUCAAUAAAUCAUCAAAUUGACGGAACAGUUUUAGCAUCUUCACAAACAUGCAUCAAGCAACACAAAAACAAACAAGCAAGCAAAUUCCUCCCAGCAAGGAACGCAUGUUGACCUCAAAGAUUUUACUGUUGUUUUAAGAUUGAAUUUGGGAGCACGCCCAUGGAGCGGAGGUUGAUGAUAGCAGCCGCAUCCUCCCAUGGGAGGAGUGGGGCGGCGACGAUGGAUCACGCCUUGCCGGCGAAGUCCAAGGGAGGCGGCAGAUCCCGCUGUGCAAGGGCGUCCUGCGGCUUCUGUACAUGUUGCAUCUGACACAACACAGGAGACGAACCUC
rnacentral:lncRNA from 1 species